rnacentral:lncRNA from 1 species
CCAUACCUUGACUUCUGCAAGCCGUUGCAUACUUCCAGUAUCCUCCUCCCUCUCGACCCUUCUCAACACGUCAGUGUGGCUUGCCUUGUGCUCUUCCAUUUUGAAGAGAUUUGAAACUAAAUAGAUUGAUGCUCAAAUGAGCUUAUUAAACUAGAAAUGAAAUAGCUCAGUGAGCUUUAUUUAACAAGACAAAGAGAGAGGAUGAAGAUAACGUUGUCACCAAGAUAAAAGAGUUUUCGAUUGAUUCAUAAAAUGAGGAAGGAGGCUGCUCAAACUGCAGCCAAAGUUACAACUUCAGAACUGUUAACAACGUAUAUAUAUGAGUCUAUAACCCUAGUCUAAAAGCUUCUAAUGGAUCAUAAGGUUGGGCUUUUCUUUGGGCUUCAAUACUCCCCCGCAAACUUAGCGUAGGUGGAUCUCAACGGAGCCAAGUUUGAACCUCAAAUGAUGGCUUGGUGGAAAAAGUAGUGGAAGAAUGAUCACAUGGAGCUAUAGGUGUAAUCUUCAAUUCACCACAUAGAAGAGAUGGUUUGGUCUAUACUUGGAGAGUAUCGCAUGGCUUCACUCAGAGGUUUCUCUUGAACUUGGAGAGCUUAGUCGAUCUCACUCAGAGGUACACUGUGACCUUUCUUUCUCACAAAGAGUCCGGGUUCUUUUGUGACCCGUGUAACUCAUCAAAUUUGUCUAAUAACAAAAGGGACUUUCCCACAACAACUUAGAUCCCUUCCACUAUCUAUCUUCCAUCAAUAACCAGUUCCAGACCAAUAAACCAUACCGGCAUUGUCCUAUGAAACUAUGACUACCCGGCAUUACUCCAGAUUCCAAUCCUAGCCAGCCAACAGAACCACCAGACCAAGCGACCAUAAUAUUCUACCAAUCUCUAUCAAGCAACAGUUAUAUCUAUGUUCUGUUCCAGUAGAAAAAUGCAGAAACAUUACCACCUUUUAUUCCUCGAGCUUGACAGAGACUGGCUUGUGAUAAUGUUGAUGUUGUGAAGAAGCGUAGAAACUGCCUUUGUGGUUUCAGAACCAAUAGAAGACUCAGACCAUAGUGGAGAUUAGAUCUUUUCCGAGACCUUUCCUUUAUCAAGUCUUCGCGUUCUCAUGAACAAGCCACCAAGCUUCCAGCUUUACGGCGGCGAACACCCUGGUAUGACCAUGCUACUCUUUUUUUUUUUUUUUUUUUAAGAAAGGAGCCUUUGUUGUAACCACACUUCUUCAUAUUCUUCUUGCCUUGGUCGUUGUUUCGUAGAUCUACCACCUUACUCUCGUGUUCUAUCUGAUUUUAAAACACAAGACUUCAUCUUUUCAGCUUGGGUGAAGAGAAAACGAGAAAGGUUGGAGCUUUAGUGAUAGGAUUGAGUUAGUAACCCAUAGAACCCCAAGGAUUUACUCCCUGGUGCUCUGAUACCAUGAAGAGAUUUGAAACUAAAUAGAUUGAUGCUCAAAUGAGCUUAUUAAACUAGAAAUGAAAUAGCUCAGUGAGCUUUAUUUAACAAGACAAAGAGAGAGGAUGAAGAUAACGUUGUCACCAAGAUAAAAGAGUUUUCGAUUGAUUCAUAAAAUGAGGAAGGAGGCUGCUCAAACUGCAGCCAAAGUUACAACUUCAGAACUGUUAACAACGUAUAUAUAUGAGUCUAUAACCCUAGUCUAAAAGCUUCUAAUGGAUCAUAAGGUUGGGCUUUUCUUUGGACUUCAAUACAUUUCUCUCUGCAUCGCUGCUAGAUUCUCCUCAAGAAUCUUAAUGUGACUCGCUUUGAAGCAUGAAAGGUA